rnacentral:rRNA from 1 species
UACGGAGGGUGCAAGCGUUAUCCGGAUUCACUGGGUUUAAAGGGUGCGUAGGCGGAUAGGUAAGUCCGUGGUGAAAUCCUGCAGCUUAGCUGCAGAACUGCCGUGGAUACUAUCUAUCUUGAAUAUCGUGGAGGUUAGCGGAAUAUGUCAUGUAGCGGUGAAAUGCUUAGAUAUGACAUAGAACACCCAUUGCGAAGGCAGCUAACUACGCGAUAAUUGACGCUGAUGCACGAAAGCGUGGGGAUCAAACAGG